UACGUAGGGGGCAAGCGUUGUCCGGAAUCAUUGGGCGUAAAGAGCGUGUAGGCGGCCCGGUAAGUCCGACGUGAAAGUCCAGGGCUCAACCCUGGGAUGCCGGUGGAUACUGUCGGGCUCGAGUCCGGAAGAGGAGUGUGGAAUUCCUGGUGUAGCGGUGAAAUGCGCAGAUAUCAGGAGGAACACCAAUGGCGAAGGCAGCACUCUGGGACGUGACUGACGCUGAGACGCGAAAGCGUGGGGAGCAAACAGG
rnacentral:rRNA from 1 species